UACGUAGGGUGCAGGCGUUAAUCGGAAUUACUGGGCGUAAAGCGUGCGCAGGCGGUUUCUUAAGUCAGAUGUGAAAGCCCCGAGCUUAACCUGGGAACUGCGUUUGAAACUGGGAGACUUGAGUGUGGCAGAGGGGGGUGGAAUUCCACGUGUAGCAGUGAAAUGCGUAGAUAUGUGGAGGAAUACCGAUGGCGAAGGCAGCCCCCUGGGUUAACACUGACGCUCAUGCACGAAAGCGUGGGGAGCAAACAGG
rnacentral:rRNA from 1 species